UUAAUCAUAAUAUAUAUUUUAUUUAUUUGAAUGGAAAUUUUUUUAGUUUGUUGUGGAACUAGACUAGAAAUUACCUAAUAAGCUUCUUAUAACUUGUGUAAUGUGUUUCUUUUACGAAUUUGUAUAUUGGUAUAAUCAUAUCAUGCUAUUCCUACAAUAUUAUAACUAACACUGGCUCUCAUAAGUUUGAGUCUCAAGUCACGAAAAAGGGCCAACUCUCACGUUUUGGCGGAAAGUUACCAAAAUAUGUUAAGGACUUAUUUCAGAGAUAAUGUUGCUAAACGAUUUACAGUCGAUAAUCUUUCGAAAGCAGAAAAACUCAAGUUAGCAUCAAUUAGAAAGUUAGCGCAAUUUCUGAUAUUUGUGUGUCAAACAAAGAAUACGCGAAUUAUUUGAGAUAUGAUUGAAAUUUGCAAAGAAAGUAAAAAUCAAACUAGUUUCAUUUUAAGUUAUUGUAUAUAAUUUUAAAAUUUUGGAAUAGAAGUGA